rnacentral:rRNA from 1 species
UGAGGAAUAUUGGUCAAUGGACGCAAGUCUGAACCAGCCAAGUAGCGUGCAGGAUGACGGCCCUAUGGGUUGUAAACUGCUUUUAUAUGGGGAUAAAGUGGGGAACGUGUUCCCUUUUGCAGGUACCAUAUGAAUAAGGACCGGCUAAUUCCGUGCCAGCAGCCGCGGUAAUACGGAAGGUUCGGGCGUUAUUCGGUUUUAUUGGGUUUAACGGGAGCGUAGGCCGUUUGGUAAGCAUGUUGUGAAAUGUAGGAGCUCAACUUCUAGAUUGCAGCGCGAACUGUCAGACUUGAGUGCGCACAACGUAGGCGGAAUUCAUGGUGUAGCGGUGGAAUGCUUAGAUGUCAUGAAGAACUCCGAUUGCGAAGGCAGCUUACAGGAGCGCAACUGACGCUGAAGAUCGAAGGUGCGGGUAUCGAACAGG